UUUUAAUGCUAAAAGGACCAACAAAGUAAACAAUGCCGGAAUACAAAAAGAUUAGUAGCCUUUAGAAGAGACCGUUUCAACGAGGUGGUGUUGGUAAAGGAUAAGACAUGCCCAUAGAGCCUCAAUGUGUAUCAUCGAAAAUGUCUGAGAGUUAGCGGUUAGACAAAAGGGCAUUUGUCUGAAAGAAAAUUUUUUAAUGAACCAAGUAGCUUAUACAUUUUGAAAGUAACUAAAUACCUUAUAAAUCUAUUGGGUAUAGCAACGUUGUCGUAAAUGGAUAUAUUGAUUGUAGCAUUAUGAAAACACUCAAAAUUAAUUCAUUUUUAUGUUUAUUUAUUAAAAAAAUGAUCAAUAUACUCAAUCCAACCAAAAAUGUGUUUUCGCUUUCAUUAUUUUUGUAUUGUUUCUGAAGUAAACAACAAUUCAAAGUUCACGGGCUAUAGAAGGAAAAUAAUUUUUUACCUAGGUGACUAUUUCUCAGUAUAAGUUAGUUUAUUAGAGACAAAUACUUUAGAUG